rnacentral:rRNA from 1 species
ACGUAGGGGACGAGCGUUGUCCGGAUUUACUGGGCGUAAAGGGCGCGUAGGUGGUUUGUCGCGUCGUCUGUGAAAUGCCGUGGCUUAACUCCGGGCGUGCAGGUGAUACGGGCAUAACUUGAGUACUGUAGGGGUAACUGGAAUUCCUGGUGUAGCGGUGAAAUGCGCAGAUAUCAGGAGGAACACCGAUGGCGAAGGCAGGUUACUGGGCAGUUACUGACGCUGAGGCGCGAAAGCCUGGGUAGCGAACAG